AAGUCGUAACAAGGUUUCCGUAGGUGAACCUGCGGAAGGAUCAUUACAAGAGUGCCGGGUUCGCCCGAACAUUCUCACCACCGCGUACGAAACUCAGUUGCCUCGGCCGCCUCGCGGCCGUUGGACAUCCACACGACCCGUUUGAACGUUGUCAAACCCCUCGCGAAUGCGAAAAGCAAAACUUUUAACAAUGGAUCUCUUGGCUCCG
rnacentral:misc_RNA from 1 species